rnacentral:rRNA from 2 species
GUAGGUGAACCUGCGGAGGGAUCAUUACCGAGUUUACAACUCCCAAACCCCUGUGAACAUACCAAUUGUUGCCUCGGCGGAUCAGCCCGCUCCCGGUAAAACGGGACGGCCCGCCAGAGGACCCCUAAACUCUGUUUCUAUAUGUAACUUCUGAGUAAAACCAUAAAUAAAUCAAAACUUUCAACAACGGAUCUCUUGGUUCUGGCAUCGAUGAAGAACGCAGCAAAAUGCGAUAAGUAAUGUGAAUUGCAGAAUUCAGUGAAUCAUCGAAUCUUUGAACGCACAUUGCGCCCGCCAGUAUUCUGGCGGGCAUGCCUGUUCGAGCGUCAUUUCAACCCUCAAGCCCUCGGGUUUGGUGUUGGGACUCGCGAGUUAAAUCGCGUUCCCCAAAUUGAUUGGCGGUCACGUCGAGCUUCCAUAGCGUAGUAGUAAAACCCUCGUUACUGGUAAUCGUCGCGGCCACGCCGUUAAACCCCAACUUCUGAAUGUUGACCUCG